AGGAUAAACGCUGGCGGCGUGCCUAACACAUGCAAGUCGAACGCCCUACGCAAGUAGGGAGUGGCGGACGGGUGAGGAACACGUGGGUAAUCUGCCCUUCGGUGAGGAAUACCGGCGAGAAAUCGCCGACAAUACCGCAUGCGUUUCACGGAAGUGAAAGAAAGUCGUAAGACGCCGAGGGAUGAGCCUGCGCCCGAUUAGUUUGUUGGUGGGGUAAAAGCCUACCAAGACUACAAUCGGUAGCUGGUCUGAGAGGACGAUCAGCCACACUGGGAUUGAGAACGGCCCAGACUCCUACGGGGGGCAGCAGUGAGGAAUUUUCGUCAAUGGGGGCAACCCUGAACGAGCAACGCCGCGUGCAGGAAGAAGGUUUUCGGAUCGUAAACUGCUUUUCUGUGGGAAGAGAACGGACGGUACCACGAGGAAGAAGCCCCGGCUAACUACGUGCCAGCAGCCGC
rnacentral:rRNA from 1 species